rnacentral:lncRNA from 1 species
AUUGCAUAAAAAUCAGGCGUUCGUGUCACCCUCAGACUAGUCAAAGCUGCUGUUUUUUCUUUCUCUUUUUGAAAGAAGAAAGAAGGAAAAUAAGAAAUGUCCCCAGAAUAAGACCUUCAAAGCCAGAUAAACGUUAUUUCUGAAAGGCAUCGGAAACUGGGCAUCCAAGCAAAGCCACCAACUAAAGAGGUUUUCUAUUUGGAGAAAGUUCCAGUGGGCAAUGGGGAGGUAUGAGGCUGGUGUGGGGCCAGAGUCAUGGCUUUUCCUGUAGAUGGAACUCUCUGGCUUGAAGUGUUGUCCAGUCCUUCUAGAUUCGUCCAGCUCUUGCAGUCAUCUCUUCUCUUCUUGGUCACUUCCAUUGUGUGGUGUUAAGUGUUCCUCAAGCCCUACAGCGUCCCUCUGGUGUCUUUCACUUUUCAGGGAGAAAAUGAAGUUUCCGACCUUUGCAAUUCCUGAGGGACCUAAACUCAGCUCCAGGGACCUGGAUUGUCUCUGUCACCCUUGAGCCACUCUGGGGAGCUCAGGCUGACCAGGGCUCUUCCUCAGCCUCAUCUGCACAUUGCAAACAGCCUGAAGCCUUCUCACUAUGCCCAGGUCACUGUGUGAUGACUACGGGUGAAGGGUUUGAUUGUUCCCAAUAUGAAAUACAUGAAUUUAUCUUCCACGGACCAGAGAUGCUAGAGCUUGGGAAAGUCAUCACAGAAGGGGGUGGCAUGUUCUGUCUGACCAUUGCAUUGAGACACAACUCUUCCAGCCUCCUAAAGCCUUACCACAGGAUAAAGUGAGAUUCAGGAGUCUAUGGAGAAGCCAAGAGAUUUGUAAAUGCGUAUAAAGCUCAGACUGUGUUCUAAUCGAUUGCUGUUCCUUACAGUUCCAGAAAUUCAGCCUUUAAGAAGAGGGAAGAAUUUAACUCUAAUAUUGAUCUGACUUCCUGGGUGCCGUUGGGGAGGAGGGUCAGCUGGGAAACCAGUUCUGGGUGGGCAGUGUGGUUGAGGUAUGCUCCCUAAUUGCAAGCUUUGAUUUGUUCAGCUGCUCCUAGAUUUCUGGCUUUUAACAAAUGGCCCUUGGUCUACACCUGCUGUCCUCAAGGGGAAGAUGAGAAGCCUCUUAGCACCUAGAGGCUGCCCCUACAGUAUGCCGACUUCCUUUCCCAAGGGGGUAGGUGCAGAGCAAAGAACUGUGGACCUACAUGGGUGGGUGUUAGCUCCACUCCCAACCUACGGCAUGCUCUUGGGUUGGCCACUUGACUGCUUUGAGUCUUUGCUUCCUCAUGGGUAAAGUUUACUUUAUUUUAUUUAUUUAUUAAUGCCCUACUUGUUCCAGAAUGGAUUUAAGGUGGCUUAUGUGUAAAAUGAGGGGAUUAAACAAGCUGAUCCUUUCUAAGGUAUCCUCCCGGCUCUAGGAUGCUCUGGCAGUCUUACUUGCCACUUGAUGUUGCAAAGUCUGCAGUUCAAUUCCAAGUUAGAGGAAUGCCAGCUGCCCCUUGAGUGUGAGUGAUUCAUAGUCACAAAGGGACUGUGGGAUUGACUGGGGAGAUGUGUGCUUUGUGCUGUAGUAACACUUCGUGCUUGGGGUUUCACAUCAGCAAAUUAAAUUAUGGGUAUUAACAAAUUUCAUACUCACACACUUUUAAUAGCAAAGAGUUUCUACAUUAGGACAAUUUCCAAUUGGUUCCCUAUGGAUAAUAGUUCUCUUUUAAAUACUCGGCAAAAUAAUACAGCCCCUUACCAGUUCUCAGCUCUGUGGAGUCUGUCUGUGAGCUCCUGCAACUCUGCCUAUCACUCAUAGACCACAGGAACUUGAGGUCUGAAAAGCCAAUUUGGGGCACUUUAAUCUAAGAGAGACACUGACCAACAGGAGUUUGUCCUGAGGACUGUUAUCAGAGAAAGAAAGAUCUGGAAAUAGUGCCUUAUGGGGAACAGUUGGUGAAGCUGGGGAUGUUUCAGAAAAGAGAAGACUUCCUAUGUUUGCAGAGUUACCAUGAUAAAGAGGGGCCACGGGACCACUGUGGAGGUGUCAGAGCUGCUCAUUAGUGGAAUGGGGUGUCUCGGGAGGUGAUGAGUUAGAAGCACUGCAAGUUCCAAACAGAGGCUGGGCGAGCACCUGCAAGGAGGAAUGAAUGACAUCUUCUGUCCAAUUUAGCAAAUAUGUAUUGAGCAUCUACUAGGAAACAGGUUGUUAUGAGCAGACAAUAUUCUCCCAAGGCCA